AGAGAGAGAGAGAGAGAGAGAGAGAGAGAGAGAGAGAGAGAGAGAGAGAGAGAGAGAGAGAGAGAGAGAGAGAGAGAUUCAUGUGCACCUGAUACAAUGUUUUUUUUUUCUUUUCAAAAUUCUACGAGAGUGAGAGUUGCAGAUGCCCUGUGAGGGUUGAGAGGUAGUGGUAAAUGUGUGACUGAUGCAGCAGCUGUAGAUGGAGCGCCUGUAACUAUAUUGUACAGAGUUAUACACCCACUCUAGAGCUAUAUUUUUUGAUAGGAGAGCUAGCUAUUCAUAUACAUCUUACCUAUCCCUUUCUGGACUUAACAAAGGAAGAAAAACAAACUAACAUGCCUUAGAAAACAAAGUACCAUUCAGUCUCAUUCAGAAUCACCUAAAUGACAACAAACAAUGCCAUUCAUAAUCUAUCCCAUUCUUGGAUCUAGCCAUCUCACUUGUGGCCUCUCAGCUGCCCAUUCAAGGCCCCCAUGCUGUGAGUCUUGGCCUUGGUGCACACAGACCACCACCACCAUCACCACCACCGCCACCACCAUCACCACUACUAUCACCUGCUGCCAGAGGAAUCCAUCUCCGCUACCCUGCCCAUCGGAGGGACCUCGUAAGCACCAGCCAGCUCCUGCCCCACGUGUCGCCUGGUGCUGCGUGGGCGUUGCGUCCCUCCCACCCCUCCAGCACUGGGGCGGGGCGGCUGUGCAUCAUUGCCUUCACAGCGUACAGCUUACCAGAUUCUUCCACUACUGCCGGAGAAAUGGCCGACAGUUGGUUGCACAAGAGGUAUUCAGUCCACAGGCUUGGUGGUGCAAACAAGUGAUAACUGAAGAAUGAUAAUCGUAUGUACUCUUUAUCAGGGUAGAUGUUAAGUUCCUCCUUAUUAUUAUUAUUAUAAUUAUUUUAAAACAGAUUUUGUAAUCUCCUUUUAUAGAGGUAUUGUUUAUUUUUAGAAAUUCUGUAUAUUUGUCCUAUGCAAUAGGUGGUAUUGAAAGCCAGCAGUCUUUUUGCUUCCCGAUUCGUAGUGACUACCUCACAGGUGAUAGAUUAAUGAAAAGACAUUCCUUCCCUGUAGCCCGUGAAUUUUUAGGCAGCUCAGGAAACACAGGGGGGCGGCAGGGGGGGUGGUGUGAGGACGGACCAGUGACCACCCGAUCUCUUUUUAUAACAACAUAACCAUCGGGAAAAAACACAGCGUCGCUCCUGGCUCACGCCCUUCAGGGAGGAGCAUGUUCCUGCGCGUCUGUGAGCGUCUGUCCCAGCAGCACCUCCCCGGUAGCCCCCCACUCCCGCCCUCCCUCCCCACCCGACCCUGGACCAUAGACCCGCCAUACACUGACCCCGUGCCACCUCGCAAACCCUCGGCCAGCGCUGGGCGUUGUGGAGGCCGCGGGGGAGGCUCCGCCGGGCUGCCGCGCACGGAGAAAAAGUAUUAUGGAGAGUCUUCCUUGCGCGCUCCGGAGCCUCGCCCGCGGCCGCCCCUGUGCCAUGGAGAGAGAUGCGUGAUGCAGUAGCAGCAGCGGACCGUCGCGGCGGAAGACCCUCGUUUAUCAGUAUUAUCAACGGCUUGUGAUAAUAAGGCUACUUAUCUCGCCCUCUGUUAGGAGUCUCGUUCCUGGUCUCGCCGUGAUGGUCCCUCCUCCCCCCAGUGCCGGCCGCCUUUCCCUCCCCUUCCCCUUCCCCUCCCCCUCCCCUUCCCCCUUCCCCUCCUAUUCCAUUAACAGUCCCCCGUACCCUUCACUGUUCCCUCAGUGCUGUCUUGGUGUGUAGGAGCAGUUCCGUCCCAGCUGAUGCAAAACAAGAACGGUUUCCUUCGUUUCUUGCAAUCUCGUGGCUUUGUUAUGUCACGGUUUGUUUCGUCGGGUGUUGGCUGGGAUGUAGUUAUGUUUCAGUAUUGUGCUUGUAUCUUCCUCUGCCUCCAUCUUCUCCGUUCCUCCUUUUCCUCCGAAUCCAAGGCCACCCCUUGGCGGCCUGCACGUGAGACACACUCUUCCCCAGCUUCACGUUACGUCGUCUUCACGUCGCCUCAGGGCACAGGUUUCGCUCCCCGGUAACGUGGGUCCUAAGGUUCGGCCUCCCUCGUCCUCGCACACUCGUGAUACGUUAGUCUCUAGUUGGUUCCUCUUAUGCAAUCAUACGCGAUAGAUUUCUUUCCUUUAUAAUAUAUUUGCCGCUUGCGUCUCCCAGUGGUCACACCCCGCCCACAUCAGGAGGAUGUGGUCGGAGGUCGUGGCGUCGACGACAAUCAUUACGUUUGUCAUUCACACUCCCGUAGGUUUAACGCCGAGUCAGAGAAAUUGUGAUGCGGGUGUGGUGGUGAAAUCGACCCCCUCACCCUUACCGACUUUUCUAGUUGGGUGCGAGGCGCCGCGGGAGGCCCAUCGUGCAGUGUGAUAGUGUCAAAUGCUAGUCUGACGGCGGGGAGCGUAGCCUCGUCCCACCACCCUCUACCUCCUGCCCAGUGUGUCCCGCCGCCUGCUUGCCCUGUGCCCCACGCCGAAACAAUGUGAAGGAUAUUUUUUUGAGAGUACCGAUCGGCGUGCGUGGCGGGGCGGUGGGCGGUUUGGCGCCGCGGUGGGACCGAGGCCAGCCGAGGUCAAGCCGCGGCGCUGGACACUAACCAUUCCUACCAGAGCCCAGGCCCGCGAGGGUCUGAGGCAGCCAUGUAGCAACCCAAGUUCCUCGCCUAAACAGGUUCCUCUCCCCUACAGUAUCCCGCCCCUUGAGCUCCACCAGUAUUUUAUUUUGCACUCUUUGUGCCCAAUUUCUUGUACGAUAAGCUGAUGCCAGACUCCAGUCACGGGCGAGCGGCAGCCUUCCGGCUCGGCCCUGCGUGGCCAGCGCGCGAGGCCCCACGGCGGGAGGCUGGCGCUGCGUCUGAUGGUCUGAACACUUAGAUGAUGCCAAUACGAUGCAUGAAUGGGAUAGCAUUAUUUUCAUAAUGGUUCCGAUUGAAUACCUUGAAGGUAUUUCUUGGCCAAGUAUUUAACAUUCCUUUGCUUACACAAGAAGCAGGUAAAGUGCAAAUUUUUUUUUUCAUUCUCUUAACUAGGAGAGAAUCAACUCCUUCUGCUAUGCACAAGUUAAUACUGCACAUUGGAGCAUUUGGCACACAUAGUAUAUCGAGGUGGGAGAGUUGCCUCCUGUGAUAGGCAUUUGUUUUUCAACUGAUGUACUCGCAUGUGCGUGCCACGGACCACCCCUGGUGAGGUAGAGCCUUGGCUGACGGCGCGGGGGCGGGGCCGGCGGGCGUCCCCCGCUGCGGCCCCGUCCCCGCCAAGGGCCCAGCACAGUGCCUAAGGGCCUGCCCAUUAUGCAAACAUAUUUUGAAUUAAGCAAAGCAAUAUUAUGUUUUGUCUAUUGCUGUUAUUGGAGACAAAUGGUUAUUCUGUGAAUUUUGAACAAAAAAUAGUAAUCAUUUUGUACAUGGUAAGAGAAGACUAGAAGCUGAAAUUAUUCACUAGAAAAUUAUGUGCUAUUUUUAGAGAGUCUCUAGUUUGUGUACUUUGUUAUAUAUCUGGAUGAUGUAGUCUUGUACGAGGUGUAUGAAGUGUAGGGUAACGAGAGUGUGUCGUGAUCAUAGGUAGUCUAGGCGGAACAAGGUAGGGGCUAGACAGUGCUGAACUGAUAUAUAUGCAACCUGUAGUUUGAAAUACUCGAAAAUAAAGAUCAGAUCAGACAAA